GGGACUGUCAACGGGUAAAACUGUUUGCUCACCUCCUGAAACUAUAACCAAUCAACAUAAUUCCAUUGGUGCAGACUUAGAACAAAGCUCUCCUCGUUUUUACUUUUGUAUCCGAUGAAUCAAAUUAAUCCAUCAAUGGGAUGUGUGCCCUUUUUUUAACUUUGAAAAUGUUUAACAGGAAAAGCUCUUUGUUACUGUUAAUUUUAACAUUUAAGAAAUUUGACAUGCAAAAAUAUUGUAUAUCUAAACUGGUUUACAGAGGGAAUGGAAAUGGGCAUGCUUGUUUGUGGUAUUUAUUAGAAUUAAAACCCGGUGAGUGUAGUGAGCAAACACAGGUUUCCCUGGUUAUUCAUGUUCAGAAGUCACUUCAUCAGGAAAGAUGGAAUUAGAGGGUUGGAAUUACAGGCUUAUGAAGAAAACUGAAAACAGAUUUAUUCUGGGUGAUACAGAGCCUCAGUCGGGCUUUGAUAGAAGGAUUCUGUCAAAGGCUUUUUAUGGAUAAAGGAACAGUGGAACUCCUGUGUUUACUAGUGUGUGGUAUACAAAAAGCAUAGCACAGGCCCUGGUUUCAUGUGGCUUACCUAAUCUGGUUGAGAUGAAAUUUUUUUUUUUGAGACAAUCUCAUUCUCUCACCCAGGCUGGAGUGCAGUAGCACGAUCUCAACUGACUGCAACCUCUGCCUCCCAGGUUCAAGCGAUUCUCAUGCCUCAGCCUCCCAGGUAGCUAGGACUACAGGUGCACACCACCACGCCCAGCUAGUUUCUGUAUUUUUAGUAGAGAUGGGUUUUGCCAUGUUGCCCAGGCUGGUCUCGAACUCCUGGCCUCAAGUGAUCCACCUGUAUAGGCCUCCCAAAGUGCUGGGAUUACAGAUGUGAGCCACCGUGCCUGGCUGAGAUGAAAUUUAAUAGUUGUCACUGAAUGUACAUCUAGCUGCCAGGAACUUCACGAACCCUGUGUCUCCUAAAAAUACAAAAACUAGCUGGGUGUGGUGGCAUGUGCCUGUAGUCCCAGCUACUUGGGAGGCUGAGGCAGGAGAAAUCACUUGAACCCGGGAGGCAGAGGUUGUAGUGAGCCAACAUUGCACCACUGCACUCCAAAACCAACCUGGGUGACAGGGCGUGAUUCCCUCUCAAAACAAAAAAAGGUACAUUCAAAUCAUACUAACAUUCCAUUCCCAACCAGUUGGUUGUUAAACAAAUCAUGUUUAUUUGACCCAAGUCUCACCACCGCUGUCUCAACUGCCCUGGUACAAGUCACCAUCCUCUCUGCACUCCUAGAUUACUCUCUUUCACUGGUCUCCCUGCCUUCUCCACUUGUUCUCCUGUUAUCUGUAUGACUAGAAAGAUUAUUUUAAAACAUAAAUCAGGCCGGGCCCAGUGGCUCAUGCCUGUAUUCUCAGAAUUUUGGGAGGCCAAGGUGGGAGGAUCACUUGAGGCCAGGAGCUCAAGAUUAGCCUGGGCAACAUAGUGAGACCUUAUCUCUAAAAAUUAAAAAUAGGAGUUACAUCGUGUCACUCCUUAGCAACUUAGUUUAUGCAAGGCACAGUAUUAAACCUCUACAUAGAAUGAGGUUAGGUAAACUGGAUAUUAAUGAGACUUGAAAGGCUGGGCACGGUGGCUCACUCCUAUAAUUCCAGCACUUUGGGAGGCCGAGGUAGGUGGACUGCUUGAGCCCAGGAGUUCAAGACCAGCCUGGGCAACAUGGCAAGACCCCAUCUCUACAAAAAAUUAGCCAGGUGUGUUGGCACAUGCCUGUAGUUCCAGCUACUUGGGAGGCUGAUUGGGAGAAUUGCUGGAGCCUGGGAGGCGGAAGUUAUGGUGAGCUGUAAUUGUGAAACUGCACUGCAGCCUGGGCAACAGAGUAAGACCCUGUCUCAAAAAAAAUAUAUAUAUAUAGAGAGAGAUUUGCAAAAAAGUAAAAUGAUGCCAUACUUUUUACUUAUUCCUUAUUUUAGAAAAUAGAGUAUUAGUUUUAAUAAAGAUUGUUUUUGUUAACAUUUAAUGAAUUAUUUUUUAAUGAAUUGAUUUUUAAAAUUCUGUUUUUGUUUUUUUUGAGACGGAGUCUUGCUCUCAACCAGGCUGCAGUGUAGUGGCAUGAUCUCGGCUCACUGCAAGCUCUGCCUCCUGGGUUCACCCCAUUCUCCGGCCUCAGCCUCCCAAGUAACUGGGACUACAGGCGCCCGCCACAACGCCUGGCUAAUUUUUUGUAUUUUUAGUAGAGAUGGGGUUUCACCAUGUUAGCCAGGAUGGUCUUGAUCUCCUGACCUUGUGAUCCGGCUGCCUCGGCCUCCCAAAGUGCUGGGAUUACAGGCAUGAGCCACUGCCUCCAGCCUAAAAUUCUCAGUUUUAACUUAUCAGAUAAAUAUUAGCAGACUUAACCCACAUAAACAAAAACUUUGGGAUCCUCAAUAAUUUUUAGGAGUGUAAAGGGGUCUUGAGACCAAAACUGUCUGAAAACUGCUGGAGUAGGCUUGUUUCCUCCUGGCGGUCUCUUCUGGUUCUUUCAGUCAUCACAUAUUUAUUAUAUCUAUUAUGCCAGGCACCAUUCUAGAUUCUGGGGAUACAGGUGAAUAAGAUGGGCAGGCUCUGAUGCACGGAACUUAUUUUCUAGUUGGCAUGUGUAUGACAGAGAGAGAAGGAGGAGGAGGGCAGGUGAUUCAGUUAUGAAAAAAUGAACAAGAUAAUUUCAGAUUACAUAAAUGUUGUGAAGAAAAUUAAACAGGGGAAAGUACUUAGGAGUGGGGAUCUAAGUGAAACUGAGGCUGGGAAGAUGACUUGAUCCGAGCCUGGUUGGCAAAGGGAAGCUCCUGCUUUUUCUCUGAACAUUUCUGCCCUGGCUCACUCCUCUGGCAAUGAGCUUCCUGUGGUUCCUUAAACAUCCCAGGCAGGCUGCUUCUUCAGGGAUCCUUCGGUGUAGAAAGCACUCCUAGUUAAAUUUUCAUGCCAGUCACUACAGUCCAGAUCUCCUUGGAGAGGCCUCCUCCAAUCACCUAUCUCAAAGAACACCCCUCUCACUAGCCAUCCCCUUACUGGGUUUCAUUUUCCUUCCCAGCUCUUCUCUCUGCACAAUAUUGCUAUGUAUUUAUGUGCUUGUCUGUCUCCUUCCAGAGAUUUGGGAUGAUUGCUAUAACCUCCAGAUCAUUAAAUAGUGCCUGGGAAGUGGAGCGCUCAGUAAGUGUGCUGGGUAAUAACUGUAAAAUCAGAUAUAAUGAAAAAAAGUUAUUUGGUUUUAAAGAGAUAAAUAAGAAGGUUGGGCACGGUGGCUCACGCCUGUAAUCCUAGCACUUUGGAAGACCGAGGCGGGCGGAUUGUCUGAGCUCAGGAGUUCGAGACCAGCCUGGGCAACAAGGUGAAACCCCGGCGCUACUAAAAUACAGAAAAACUAGCCGAGCGGCGGGCGCCUGUAGUCCCAGCUACUCGGAAGGCUGAGGCAGGAGAAUUGCUUGAACCCAGGAGGCGGAGGUUUCAGUGAGCCGAGAUCGCGCCACUGCAUUCCAGCCUGGGCGACAGAGCGAGACUCCGUCACCAAAAAAAAAGAGAGAGAUAAGCAAAUGUUAAAAGCAGGUUACUACAAGAUUAGCAGCCUAGUGCCGGGCGCGGUGGCUCACGCCUGUAAUCUCAGCACUUUGGGAGGCCGAGUCGGGCGGAUCACGAGGUUAGGAGAUCGAGACCAUCCUGGCUAACACGGUGAAACCCCAUCUCUACCAAAUAUACAAAAAAU
rnacentral:lncRNA from 10 species